GGAAGUAAAAGUCGUAACAAGGUUUCCGUAGGUGAACCUGCGGAAGGAUCAUUACAGUAACUGCUGUAGACCUGAUGUCCUGGAUUAAAACUGCGGUAUGAAUAAGGAUCUACCGUGUGGCCUAAUACCUUAGGCAUCCAACAUCGCCUAACCAUGUUAAUAUAACUGAAAACCGUAGCCUGGUAAAUGAAUUUUGCCAGUGGAAGCAUUAACCCCUUUUAUUAAACUGAGCGGAAUUGAGUCAGUAAGUUAUUAGUCGGGAAAAUGAAGUUAAUUAUAUUAAAACUUUCAACAACGGAUCUCUUGGUUCUGGCAUCGAUGAAGAACGCAGCGAAAUGCGAUAAGUAGUGUGAAUUGCAGAAUUCAGUGAAUCAUCGAAUUUUUGAACGCACAUUUGCCCCUUGGUAUCCCAAGGGGCAUGCCUGUUCGAGCGUCAUUUCAACCCCUCAAGCUUUGCUUGGUAUUGGGCAUCAUUAUUCCUUUUAAUUAAGGGUAAUGUGCCUUAAAUAUAGGCAGCGGCAAGUACUAAUUCCGAGCGUAGCAGUUUAUAACAUUUCGCUUUAGGAUUUUGGUAUAUUGUCAGCUAUAUAGUUAGUCUUUUACUAUUAUUUGACCUCGGAUCAGGUAGGGAUACCCGCUGAACUUAAGCAUAUCAAUAAGCGGAGGA
rnacentral:rRNA from 1 species